rnacentral:rRNA from 1 species
UCUUCCGCAAUGGACGAAAGUCUGACGGAGCAACGCCGCGUGAGUGAUGAAGGUUUUCGGAUCGUAAAACUCUGUUGUUAGGGAAGAACAAGUACCGGUCGAAUAGGGCGGUACCUUGACGGUACCUAACCAGAAAGCCACGGCUAACUACGUGCCAGCAGCCGCGGUAAUACGUAGGUGGCAAGCGUUGUCCGGAAUUAUUGGGCGUAAAGAGCGCGCAGGCGGUUUCUUUAGUCUGGUGGGAAAGCCCCCGGCUAAACCGGGGAGGGUCAUUGGAAACUGAGGAACUUGAGUGCAGAAGAGGAGAGUGGAAUUCAACGUGUAGCGGUGAAAUGCGUAGAGAUGUGGAGGAACACCAGUGGCGAAGGCGACUCUCUGGUCUGUAACUGACGCUGAGGCGCGAAAGCGUGGGGAGCGAACAG